ACCUGUCUGGCUCAGUCGGUAGAGCAUGUGACUCUUAAUUUCUGGGUUGUGAGUUCAACCCCUGUGUUGGGUG
rnacentral:tRNA from 1 species